CCUAGGAGCCUUUUAGUACGAGGUAUGCUUCUCAUUUCCCACACACUAUAUAAAUAUAAUAAAUAUAAAUAUAAAAAUAUUGUUCUCAUUUCACACACACUAUAAACCUAUAGCAUAAUGUUAGGCAUUCAAUGGACACACACAUAUACAAAUGUAAAGUUGGUCUCAAAAUGAACUUUACCAAAAUGUAACAAGUGGUGCUCUAUUACAUUUUUUCUAUUUGUCCAUUUUGCCCUUAUUCCCCUAACAAUUUUAUAACAUCAAUUGA
rnacentral:misc_RNA from 1 species